GACAGAGGUCCCGAGCGUUAGGCGGAAUCACUGGGCUUAAAGCGUGUGUAGGCGGAUCGUUAAGUGCCUUGUGAAAUCCCAUGGCUUAACCAUGGAACUGCUUGGCAUACUGGCGGUCUUGAGCCACUUAGGGGCAACCGGAACAAAUGGUGGAGCGGUGAAAUGCGUAGAUAUCAUUUGGAACGCCAAUGGUGAAAACAGGUAGCUGGGAGUGUGCUGACGCUGAGACACGAAAGCCAGGGGAGCGAACGGG
rnacentral:rRNA from 1 species